rnacentral:lncRNA from 1 species
AGUGCGAGGAAUAACCGGAGCUCUCUGCAACGCUGAAAGAAACUGGCCAGCAACCUAGCUUAAAGGAUCCUCACAUCUGCGGCGAUGACUCUGUGCACAGACCAAGGAAGGAGAAGCCGCCGGAGCCAGUAAAGUACUCCCUUGGUGGUCAAAUUCCGGAGGGCUAAAUGUGUGUGUGCAUGAAUGAUCACAAAUAACCCUACCUGCGGUGUUGUUCAUGUGGAUGGUGACAAGACCUACUGCUGGACAGAGUGCUGCCUUUGGACUUUCCAGUGCCUCAGCAUCAGCCUGGGGAUCACGUUCUCAUCAAAGAGGGGAAAGAAGGGAAACUCGAGCCAGCCCGGGAAGGACCCUACCUUGUGCUGCUAACCACUGAGACUGCUGUUCGUAAGGUUGGAAAGAGAUGGACACAUCACACAUGAGUCAAGCAAGCACCAUUAUCCUCAGAAUCAUGGGCCAUUGUUCCUGGAUCAAGCCCUACCAAAUUAAAGCUAAGGAAAGCUUAGUCUAUCUAUCUUUUCCUUUCCCUUCCUUACCCAGUGCUUAUAUCCAUUACUAUUCCUACCACUAGCAACUCUAACCCCACUUUAGAACGCUUCUGUGGUUUAGGAGCAGAGGUCACUGGAAAGGAUCCUAUGGGCUUCUUUAAGGUGGGCUUUGUUCUCCCUCCUCCACCUCCUAUGGCUGCCCCUUUCCCAAACCUACAAAAUCAAACUAUGACUCACCUCAUGCCAAAUGACAAAAGCAAGGUCCCGGUAGUAGAAAUAGGAGACCUAAGGCAAACCAUAGCCAUUAAAACAGGGUAUAAAAAUGUAAAUGCCUGGUUAAAAUUGAUUAAAUAUUCUGUCCACACGUUAAACAAAGGCAAUUUUUAUGCUUGUGCACAUGACAGGCCAGAAGCCCAGAUUGUCCCCUUUCCACUAGGGUGGCCCUCUAGUUGACUGGGCAUGGCCUGCAUGGCAGAUCUUUCCCAGGAUUAUUCAGCCUGGGGUAACAAGUCGUGCCAAGCUCUCUCUCUGCUACAUCCCGAAGUUCAACACCCUGCGGGUCAGCCCCCAAGGGCCAUCCAGCUUCCAUCUCCCAACACUAAGUUCACUUCGUGUCUCUCAGGACCGGGAGGAAACUUAGCGUUCCUUGGAGUCCUGAAGGGAUGCAGUGAGAUUAAGAAAUUUCAAGAGCUUACCAAUUAGCCCUUACUCAUCCCUGAGCAGAUGUGUAGUGGUAUUAUGAUGGACCUUUACUGGACACUCUGCCGAGUAACUGAAGUGGCACUUGCUUUAGUCCAGUUGGCUAUCCCUUUCACGCUGGCAUUUCAUCAACCAGAGAAAGGAAAAAUAAGAUAUCAUAAAGCAAAAGAAGCCCCUUAUGGGUCUUUUGACUCUCACAUCUAUUUAGACAUAAUUACAGUCCCACAGGGAAUACCAGAUCAAUUUAAAGCCUGAAAUCAAAUAGCUGCAGGAUUUGAGUCAAUAUUUUGGUGGGUGACAAUAAAAUGUAAAUUGGAUAAACUACAUCUAUUACAACCAACAGCCAUCCAUUAACUACACUAGAGAUGCUGUUAAAGGAAUAGCUGAGCAAUUAGGGGCUACUAGCCAGAUGGCUUGGGAAAAAUAGGAUAGCCUUAGACAUGAUAUUAGCAGAAAAAGGAAGAAUUUGCAUCAUAAUUAAAAAUCAAUGUUGUAACUUCAUCCCAAACAACACCGCCCCUAAUGGAAGUAUAACAAAGGCAUUGCAAGGUCUGACUGCUCUAUCCUGAGUUAGCCAAUAACUCGGGGGUAAAUGACCCCUUUACAGGAUGGCUGGAAAAGUGGUUCAGUAAAUGGAAAAGAAUAGUAGCCCCAAUUCUUACUUCCAUCGCAGCCAUCAUAGGUGUGCUUAUUCUUGUCGGGUGUUGUGUCACACUAAGGAAGGAGACCGCUACAACUCCUGCUGCCCUCCUCCCACCACCUUGCCUAGUUCACAAGACAGGAGGAAAGAGAGAAAGCAAAAAGCUGGAAAGAAGCAAAAGUAAGAUAAAUAGCCAGACAACCUUGGCACCACCACCUGGCCCUAGGAGUUAAAAAGGUAAUAAUAAUAACAUCAACCCCAGACCUAAACUACUUGUGUUAUCUGUAAAUUCCAGACAUUGUAUGAAAAAGCAUUGCAAAACUUUCUGUUCUGUUAGCUGAUGCAUGUAGCCUCCAGUCACGUUCCCCACGCUUGCUGGAUUUAUCACGACCUUUUCAUGUGGACCCCUUUAGAGUUGUAAGCCUUUAAAAAGGCCAAGAAUUCAGUUUGCAGGGAGCUCAGCUCUUAAGAUGCAAGUCUGCCGAUGCUCUCAGCCAAGUAAACCUCUUCCUUCUUU